UGGGGAAUAUUGGACAAUGGGCGCAAGCCUGAUCCAGCCAUGCCGCGUGAGUGAUGAAGGCCCUAGGGUUGUAAAGCUCUUUCCCCGGUGAAGAUAAUGACGGUAACCGGAGAAGAAGCCCCGGCUAACUUCGUGCCAGCAGCCGCGGUAAUACGAAGGGGGCUAGCGUUGUUCGGAUUUACUGGGCGUAAAGCGCACGUAGGCGGACUUUUAAGUCAGGGGUGAAAUCCCGGGGCUCAACCCCGGAACUGCCUUUGAUACUGGAAGUCUUGAGUAUGGAAGAGGUGAGUUGAAUUCCGAGUGCAGAGGUGAAAUUCGUAGAUAUUCGGAGGAACACCAGUGGCGAAGGCGGCUCACUGGACCAUUACUGACGCUGAGGUGCGAAAGCGUGGGGAGCAAACAGG
rnacentral:rRNA from 1 species